GCUGAGCACUCCUACGGGAGGCAGCAGUGGGGAAUAUUGCACAAUGGGCGCAAGCCUGAUGCAGCCAUGCCGCGUGUAUGAAGAAGGCCUUCGGGUUGUAAAGUACUUUCAGCAGUGAGGAAGUGGGUAUGUUAAUAGCAUACUCAUUUGACGUUAGCUGCAGAAGAAGCACCGGCUAACUCCGUGCCAGCAGCCGCGGUAAUACGGAGGGUGCGAGCGUUAAUCGGAAUUACUGGGCGUAAAGCGCAUGCAGGUGGUUUGUUAAGUCAGAUGUGAAAGCCCGGGGCUCAACCUCGGAAUUGCAUUUGAAACUGGCAAACUAGAGUACUGUAGAGGGGGUAGAAUUUCAGGUGUAGCGGUGAAAUGCGUAGAGAUCUGAAGGAAUACCGGUGGCGAAGGCGGCCCCCUGGACAGAUACUGACACUCAGAUGCGAAAGCGUGGGGAGCAAACAGGAUUAGAUACCCUGGUAG
rnacentral:rRNA from 1 species